CGUACCUUUUGGUUCGGAACAACACAGGGAAACUUGUGCUAAUACCGGAUAAGCCCUUACGGGGAAAGAUUUAUCGCCGAAAGAUCGGCCCGCGUCUGAUUAGCUAGUUGGUAGGGUAACGGCCUACCAAGGCGACGAUCAGUAGCUGGUCUGAGAGGAUGAUCAGCCACAUUGGGACUGAGACACGGCCCAAACUCCUACGGGAGGCAGCAGUGGGGAAUAUUGGACAAUGGGCGCAAGCCUGAUCCAGCCAUGCCGCGUGAGUGAUGAAGGCCCUAGGGUUGUAAAGCUCUUUUGUGCGGGAAGAUAAUGACGGUACCGCAAGAAUAAGCCCCGGCUAACUUCGUGCCAGCAGCCGCGGUAAUACGAAGGGGGCUAGCGUUGCUCGGAAUCACUGGGCGUAAAGGGUGCGUAGGCGGGUCUUUAAGUCAGGGGUGAAAUCCUGGAGCUCAACUCCAGAACUGCCUUUGAUACUGAGGAUCUUGAGUUCGGGAGAGGUGAGUGGAACUGCGAGUGUAGAGGUGAAAUUCGUAGAUAUUCGCAAGAACACCAGUGGCGAAGGCGGCUCACUGGCCCGAUACUGACGCUGAGCA
rnacentral:rRNA from 1 species